rnacentral:rRNA from 1 species
GACGAACGCUGGCGGCGUGCUUAACACAUGCAAGUCGAACGAAGUGGCGAACGGGUGAGUAACGCGUAAUCAACCUGCCCUUCAGAGGGGGACAACAGUUGGAAACGACUGCUAAUACCGCAUACUGAAGUAGGGGUUUGCGUCUGAUUAGCUCGUUGGGGGGGUAACGGCCCACCAAGGCGAUGAUCAGUAGGCUGUCUGAGGGGAUGAACGGUCCACUGGGGACUGAGACACGGCCCAGACUCCCACGGGAGGCAGCAGGGGGGAAUCUUCCGCAAUGGAAGAAAGUCUGACGGAGCACCGGCGCGGGAGUGAGGACGGCCUUCGGGUUGUAAAGCUCUGUUAAUCGGGACGCGGUACCGGAAUAGAAAGCCACGGCUAACUACGUGCCAGCAGCCGCGGUAAUUC